AUACGUAGGGGGCGAGCGUUAAUCGGAAUUACUGGGCGUAAAGCGCGCGUAGGUGGUUCAGUCAGUCAGAUGUGAAAGCCCCGGGCUCAACCUGGGAACUGCACCUGAUACUGCUGAGCUAGAGUACGGUAGAGGGCAGUGGAAUUUCCGGUGUAGCGGUGAAAUGCGUAGAGAUCGGAAGGAACACCAGUGGCGAAGGCGACUGCCUGGACUGAUACUGACACUGAGGUGCGAAAGCGUGGGUAGCAAACAGGAUUAGAUACCCUGGUAGUCCACGCCGUAAACGAUGUCAACUAGCCGUUGGGGGACUUGAUCCUUUAGUGGCGAAGCUAACGCGAUAAGUUGACCGCCUGGGGAGUACGGCCGCAAGGUUAAAACUCAAAUGAAUUGACGGGG
rnacentral:rRNA from 1 species